AUACGGAGGAUCCGAGCGUUAUCCGGAUUUAUUGGGUUUAAAGGGUGCGCAGGCGGCCAUUUAAGUCAGCGGUUAAAUCGUGGGGCUCAACCCCAUUCUGCCGUUGAUACUGGGUGGCUUGAUUGCGGUCGAGGUUGGCGGAAUUCGUUGUGUAGCGGUGAAAUGCAUAGAUAUGACGAAGAACACCGAUUGCGUAGGCAGCUGACCAGACCGCAAAUGACGCUCAUGCACGAAAGUGCGGGGAUCGAACAGGAUUAGAUACCCUGGUAGUCCGCACAGUAAACGAUGAAUACUUGUUUUCGGCGAUAUAAUGUCGGUGGCAAAGCGAAAGCGAUAAGUAUUCCACCUGGGGAGUACGCCGGCAACGGUGAAACUCAAAUGAAUUGGCGGGG
rnacentral:rRNA from 1 species